rnacentral:rRNA from 1 species
UACAGAGGUGGCAAGCGUUGUUCGGAAUUACUGGGCGUAAAGGGCGCGUAGGCGGCCUUCUAAGUCAGACGUGAAAUCCCCCGGCUUAACCUGGGAACUGCGUCUGAUACUGGGAGGCUAGAGUAUGGGAGAGGGAUGUAGAAUUCCAGGUGUAGCGGUGAAAUGCGUAGAUAUCAGGAGGAACACCGAUGGCGAAGGCAGGUCUCUGGGCCACUACUGACGCUGAGAAGCGAAAGCAUGGGGAGCGAACAGG